CUACGGGAGGCAGCAGUGGGGAAUAUUGCGCAAUGGGGGAAACCCUGACGCAGUGACGCCGUGUGAGUGAUGAAGGUUUUCGGAUCGUAAAGCUCUGUCAGAUGGGAAGAAUAAAGACAGAAAAAAUAUUUCUGCCUGAUGACGGUACCAUCAGAGGAAGCACCGGCUAACUCCGUGCCAGCAGCCGCGGUAAUACGGAGGGUGCAAACGUUGUUCGGAAUUACUGGGCGUAAAGCGCAUGUAGGCGGAUAUGUAGGUCAGAUGUGAAAGCCCUUGGCUCAACCAAGGAAGUGCAUCUGAAACCACAUAUCUUGAGUAUGACAGAGGGAAGUGGAAUUCCAAGUGUAGAGGUGAGAUUCAUAGAUAUUUGGAAGAACACCGGUGGCGAAGGCGGCUUUCUGGGUCAUAACUGACGCUGAGAUGCGAAAGCGUGGGUAGCAAACAGGAUUAGAUACCCCUGUAGUC
rnacentral:rRNA from 1 species